AUCAAUUUUUAAUCUCAUACUCUCUAUUGCUGUAGCAAAAUAACCAUGGAACAAGGUGACCAAAGUCAUAAUCAGACUAACACUCACCUCACUGACGGCUCUAAUGCUAUCCCAGCUGAAGGCGUGGGAAGAUUGCCAUCCCGAAGAAGAAGAAAUGGACGACCGGAGAGGGACUCUCGCAAGAAGAGCACAUUUGAAACGCACGACCAUAAUUCGGUUGGCUAUGAGUGGCUACACCCUGGUUGGGUGGCAGAGGUGCACGAGACGAAGUUGGGCAGGGUCUACAAGCGUUACUUUGAUGAGAGGGGCCGUCCGUAUAACACAAAGAAAGAAGUCCUGCGUCACUAUGCAGAGUGGGAGCGCCUCUGUGAUGGGGAUUUCCGCGACGAGGAGUAAUUAAGAAAGGUAAAAAUCGAGACGUUGGAUGCGAUGAAGUGAUCAAGUCAAUCUUGCAGAAAACUGUCGUAGUAGUGUUGAAUUUCGAGUCUGUCUAGUGUCUUUACUCAGUUGCUUUGGUUACUUGCUUAUCAUCUUCGAGUCUAUGAAUUUCGAGUUUGUCUUUCACCUUCUAGUGUAAUUUUGAAUUGGAAAAGAACGGGCAUUGAUAUCUAAUUCAUAGACAUAUAUGAAUUAGAUAUGAUA